UGUAUUAAUUAAUCAGUUGAUUGUUGG
rnacentral:piRNA from 1 species